AAUCCGUGGUGUGGGCAUUUUUUAAUCAACAUUUUGAAACGUUCCCACACCUCAUAGAAAAUUUCUCCCUCAAUCUAUCUAAAGACAACAAUCUCUCUUCUUAGUUG
rfam:Gossypium raimondii chromosome 5, whole genome shotgun sequence.